GCGGGAUCAUAGGAUGGGUACACAAGGUACUGUCAGAGAAGAUCAAGUAGUCAUGGAAGCCGAUCCUCUCUUUGAGAGGCGGCAAGCCAAGGGAAGGGCAGCCUAUAGGGUGUUCGCAUCCACAGUAUUAGUGGGUAUAUGCUUGAUAUGGAUUUACAGGGUCUCAUACAUCCCAAGAGUUGGAGAAAGGGGAAGAUGGGUUUGGUUUGGCAUGUUCAUGGCUGAGCUCUGCUUCGGUUUCUUCUGGGUUUUCACUCAGUCUCUUCGAUGGAACUUUACUCGUUCUUACCCCUUCAAGCACAGGCUCUCCCAAAGGCAUGAAGAGAAGUUACCAGGA
rnacentral:misc_RNA from 1 species